CACCGUGUGGCCGUCCUUGGCUUUGUACUCGAACUCAUACUGCACCAACACCAGCUCCAUGCUCCAGCCGGCUCCUCUGUGGCUCCUGGGUCAAGGCGCUGUGAACAUCCUGGAGCUGCAAAUAGAGGAAAUAUUCCUGGCGUCUCAGGCCCAAAUACAGCACAUCGCGUUUAGACCAAGCGCGGCGUCAGAUUCGAGCCGGGUCUGAACUAAAAGGGUGCCAGAGGUACAAGCCUGCACACAGGAAGUCGCUUCCAUUUCUGCAAAACAAAGGCGCAACCAAAGCUCACUCACCGACCACUGAAGCUGCAGACUGAAGCGCUGCUCAGCCGCAAGACAGGAAGCCGGACGAACCCCCGGCGCAGCGUCAGCCUGAUGUCACCUGCCAAUCUCAGUUUGCCAUGAGAGGAGGGCUCAUCCACGCAGCGCUCGAGGCUUCACGGCUCCGUCGUGAACUACGGCACACAAGUAACAACAGGAUGUCACGGUCGGCAGCUGUUCAGUACACAAACACUCCUUUUUGCUCAUUAGUUUAAAUGGUUCUACUGAACUUACACCAACAGUCUGGUUUGGACACACGUUCUCAUUUUAAUGGUUUUUCCUGAUAUUUCAUGAGCCUAAAAAUAACGAAUGAACCUGACAGGCGCCGGUGAACGAAUUGACGACCUCAUGAAGCUGAAGGGAGAAUGAGGAGUGGGUGUAAAGCAGUAACGAAAGCAAAACGUCUAGCUAAAAUAUAAAAGGAGUUAAUUCACACUCAUUUCUUCACUGCACAAUUCAUGUGUUCAUUCAUCAAUUUGAUGUCUUUAGUGAGAAUCUACAAUGUCAACAGUGAUGAAAAUAAAGAGUUUGACUGGUAGAGAACAUGCUGAAAUGCAUGUUUACAAAGAAAAUGACGAAACAGAAAAUUAACCAAUAUAUGAAUGACUUCACUAAGUUUCCACAUCUUAGUUCUAAAACCAAAUUAAAUUGUUCAAAUAUUGGAAGGUACGUUUUCUGAAUGUGAAAGACUUCAAAUAUGAGCACAAACUCACCAAUGAGGAAAAACUCACAUCCUGCUACUUCAUAUCCUCAGGUUUAAUAGUUUGUGUCCUUGGGCGACUUAUUUAGUAAAUUCCUCGUCUGUCAGGCGACCGUGAAGCGGAUUGACUCUCGGCUCACGCUGCUGCUGCUGCUGCUGCUGCUGCUGCUGCUGCCAGAUCCACUGCCUCGCUUCUAUUUCCUGUUCUCAGCAAGCGGUUGUUGAACCAAGAGAGGCCGAUGAGGCAUGGCAGGACUGAAACACAAGAAAUGGGAAGUCUGAAUAUAACCAUACUUCCCAAUGCGUCGUCAAUACUGUUUUUAUACACAGAGCGGACAGAGGGUGGACUGGAAAGAGCGGUGACUCGUUGGGACAUCAUGGUAUCACCAAACAAGAGUUAAAGGGGCAACAGAAUGCUGGGAGGAAAAUAGAACAUGACUAAUGUGGCUGCAGGACGUGUAUAUGGAGAUAGAUAUUAAUAGAAGGCUAAAAGUGACACAUCAUAAUAGGAUUACAUGAAAAUAGUAAUAAACAAUAUAUAGUACAUCAGCGAUUUCCUCUUGUUCUCACUGGAAACGUCCCACUUCAAGCGGCACACACAAGUUUUGUUCCAACUAUCUCUGGACCGAGGCCACGUGUUAAAUGUCAUUAACAAGUUUCAGGGUGGACCCUCGCCUCACGGACUCCACGUCUCACUUCCUUAACUCACAGGAGCAGAAAUAAUCCACCGGCCGCAUCUCACUUUGAACACACAUGAAGUUUAUUGGCAACGCCGCAAGUUCCUUUUUUUGUAUAUUGUAUUUAUAUUUGCAAAAUGACAGAAGUGAACUUGAAUAUUUUCACCUGCAUAAAUUACAAAUUCUACAGUUUAUCACUUUUGUACAAAAGGGAUGUUACAGUCGUUA